rnacentral:tRNA from 1 species
GGGCCCGUAGUCUAGUGGCUAUGACGCUGCCUCGACACGGCAGAGGUCCCCGGUUCGAGUCCGGGCGGGCCCA